GGGCACUUACCCUUUAGUGCGAAGGUUUCGACCUUCGAUCCAUUUGUUCGCAAAUGGGAUGAUCUUCGGAUCAUCCGCGUAGUCUGUUCAGUCGUUUCGACGACUGGCCCCACUUCGGUGGGGCCACGGUACUUAGAAGUGAACACUAAGUGUCGUGAACACCAUUUGGUUAACUGCUCAAACUAAAUGGUGAUGAGGGAAGGAAUGACCCUCAUCGGACUACGCGAUCCGAGUGAUGGGAAUGGCUGACCCAUCGCUCGGCACUGGAGGGUGAGUGCCCCUCAUUCGCAUAAGGGCCGACCCAGACAACAGCCAAGUUUGGGUCGGAGAUGCGAACAUUCCACGCAUCUGAACGGUUGAGAACUUACAAGGGCAAGAGCAGAGUCCUUGUAAGGGCUUUACACGUCAAGUUCACAGACGUGUAAGGCCCGUCGCCCUUCGGGGCGACGUUCACGGCAUUUCGAUGCCGUGCAGCCUGUUCGCAGGCUGCUUGACCGUUCCCCUGCCCUUUCGAGGGCAGACUACUCUUCGGAGUAGUCUUAUGUGAAUGAG
rnacentral:misc_RNA from 1 species